GCCCAGACUCCUACGGGAGGCAGCAGCAGUAGGGAAUCUUCCACAAUGGACGCAAGUCUGAUGGAGCAACGCCGCGUGAGUGGAAGGGAAUUUCUCGUAAAGCUCGUUGUUAAAGAAGAACGUGGGUGAGAGAUAACUGUUCACCCAGUGACGGUAUUUAACCAGAAAGCCACGGCUUAACUACGCGGUAAUA
rnacentral:rRNA from 1 species